ACCCCAGCCGACCACUACCAAGAUCUGGUCGCCGUCCGUCUCACCUCCAUCAACCAGAUCGUCGACCCGUGGGUGUACAUCAUCUGUAGGAAGGUAUUCAUGAUGAGGGCGUGGCGGUGGGUGCGUCUGUCGCUGCUGGGAACGCGUCUCAUUGGUCGAGAGUCGUCCACAAACCAGACUACCUCCCACAAGAAGCUGACCAAUCAUGUACUCCACAGGGACCCCUUCAGGAAGCUACAGUACAGGACGUCUUUCAUAGGAGACGCAGAAGGUGUAGAAGACGAGGUAGUUGUGGUGACGAGAGAAGGCAUAGCGGUGGCAAUGGAGACAGGAGAGGAGAAAGAAGACCGCCUCACAGCACCACCACAACACCACCUCCCCACUACCCAAGGACACCACCACCACGCUGACGAAGGAGAUGAUGGAGGGGAAGGAACUGGUGGAGAUCUUCAAGGAUUCCGGCACGGGCUCCAAUAACAACACCCCGUCCACACACUGUAGUGAUUCAGGAACAGCGGCGGCGGCGACCCCUUACUCACACAACUGCGACCCGGCUUGUCAUGCAGUGUGUCCUCCCUCCACCACACUGAAGGCGUAUACUAGUUAGCGAGAAG